AUGGCCUCCUCCGCCUUGUCCGGCACCCACCAUCGCCUCCUUCUCCCCUGUUUCCUGCGCCGCCUCCCCCGACCCCGCUCGCGCUCGUGCUCCCGCCUCCGCCUCGCCGCCUGCCACGCCGACACCCUCCUUUCCUCCUCCGGGGCCCAGGGGCCGCCCUCCCCCGCCGCGUGCUCGUCGGCAUCCUCCGCUGGCGGGUUCUCUGACUGGCUACUCACGAAUGGGCUGCCGCCGGGCAAGGUGGCCAUCCUGGAGCGCCCCGUCCCGUGCUCUCGCGGGGGCAAAGACCGGCCAUUACACUUCGUCGCUGCUGGGCAGGACCUCGAGGCGGGGGAUGUGGCGUUCGAGGUGCCCAUGUCGCUCGUUGUCACACUGGAGCGGGUUCUCGGCGACGAGUCGGUCGCUGAAUUGUUAACAACAAACAAAUUGUCUGAGCUGGCAUGCUUGGCAUUGUAUCUGAUGUAUGAGAAGAAGCAAGGAAGAGAUUCACUUUGGUACCCGUAUAUUAAAGAACUUGAUCGUCAGCGAGGCAGGGGGCAACUAGCUGUUGAAUCACCUCUUUUAUGGAUUGAAAGUGAACUGGAUUACCUGAAUGGCAGCCCCAUGAGGGAUGAAGUUGUUGUUAGAGAUGAGGGAAUAAGAAGAGAGUAUAAUGAGCUUGACACAUUGUGGUUCAUGGCAGGUUCAUUGUUUAAGCAAUACCCUUUUGAUGUACCUACUGAGGCGUUUCCGUUUGAGAUCUUCAAGCAGGCAUUUGUUGCAGUACAGUCUUGUGUGGUUCAUUUGCAGAAGGUUAGUUUAGCUCGAAGAUUUGCACUAGUUCCCUUGGGCCCACCACUGUUGACGUACAAGAGCAACUGCAAAGCAAUGCUGACUGCUGUUGAUGGUUCUGUUCGGUUGCUGGUCGAUCGGCCGUACAAAGCAGGAGAACCAAUAAUUGUUUGGUGUGGGCCUCAACCAAACUCCAGGUUGCUUCUCAAUUAUGGUUUUGUUGAUGAAGACAAUCCAUAUGAUCGCAUAGCAAUCGAGGCAUCCCUAAACACUGAAGAUCCUCAAUACCAAGAGAAGAGAAUGGUCGCUCAAAGAAAUGGAAAGCUUGCUAUCCAAAAAUUCCAAGUCUGUGUAGGCAAAGAGAAGGAAACUAUUUCUGAAAUGCUGCCAUACUUGAGACUAGGAUACAUUUCAGAUCCAGAUGAAAUGCAAUGUAUACUUUCGUCAGAAGGUGAUACAUGUCCAGUUAGUCCAUGCUCAGAGCGAGCUGUACUUGACCAACUUGUUGUCUACCUGAAAUCAAGAUUGGCUGGUUAUCCGACUACUUUGGACGAGGAUGAAGCAAUGUUGGCCGAGGGCAGUUUGGAGCCAAAGAAAGAAGUUGCCACUAGACUUGUAAGGUUAGAGAAGAAAAUGCUGCAUGGCUGUCUUCAGGCUGCUAACGAGUUCAUAAGUGGCUUGCCUGAUCAUACCGUAUCACCUUGCCCUGCUCUAUAUGCUCCUGAAUUGAAAUAA
rnacentral:rRNA from 1 species